rnacentral:misc_RNA from 1 species
UGGGCAAUCUGGAGAAUUGUGAGUUCAUUGAAUUCAUUCCUUUUCAUUUGUAAGUCGUUAAAACAGGGAAAUAGUAGCAUUUUCAAAAACAUUACCAUCUCUCUCUCUCUCUCUCUCACCAUCAAGCAUAGGUUGCUUAUUGAAACAGCAAAUGUUGAGGCACAUUUGGAGAUAGAUGAAUCUGGGCAUGAAUUUGAAGAACUCUAUUUCAAUUCAUUUUAAGGAAAAAACAGGGAAGAACAUUAUCCCAUGAAAAUGUAAGUCUGACAAAAACAUUCACAAGUUGUUAUUUGAACUACCAUCUUCAUUGCUUGACCAUCUGCUAAAUGCACGAGCCACUAAAUUCCUACUUGCAAGCAGCCCAACCUUCGCUCCAAACAAUGCCGGUCUCCCGUUACGAAUCGAUGGACCAUCAGCAACAGCCACUUGACCACCCAUCACA